UGGGACGGGUGCACAUAUCACUUGGACAAUCCAUAUAUGUUUGGCAGAUGGGAAUACCUGUGGUGUGAAAUAGGACCAGAAGGUGAUGAAAGGUUGUGUAUAUAAUAAAAGGUUAAGUAAUUAAAUGGUCCCUCAAAAUAUAUUAAUAUUUGAUUUUAAUCUUCAUAAAAUAUUCUUUAGGUUUUUGGCAAAAAAUAACUUACCGUUGCAUGUUACAACCAAAGCUAAGGAAAGAAUGAUGAUCAAAGAAUAAACAAAUUUCUC
rnacentral:lncRNA from 1 species